AUGAACGCUGGCGGCGUGCCUAAUACAUGCAAGUCGAGCGAACGGACGAGAAGCUUGCUUCUCUGAUGUUAGCGGCGGACGGGUGAGUAACACGUGGAUAACCUACCUAUAAGACUGGGAUAACUUCGGGAAACCGGAGCUAAUACCGGAUAAUAUUUUGAACCGCAUGGUUCAAAAGUGAAAGACGGUCUUGCUGUCACUUAUAGAUGGAUCCGCGCUGCAUUAGCUAGUUGGUAAGGUAACGGCUUACCAAGGCAACGAUGCAUAGCCGUCCUGAGAGGGUGAUCGGCCACACUGGAACUGAGACACGGUCCAGACUCCUACGGGAGGCAGCAGUAGGGAAUCUUCCGCAAUGGGCGAAAGCCUGACGGAGCAACGCCGCGUGAGUGAUGAAGGUCUUCGGAUCGUAAAACUCUGUUAUUAGGGAAGAACAUAUGUGUAAGUAACUGUGCACAUCUUGACGGUACCUAAUCAGAAAGCCACGGCUAACUACGUG
rnacentral:rRNA from 1 species